rnacentral:rRNA from 1 species
UACGUAGGGUGCGAGCGUUAAUCGGAAUUACUGGGCGUAAAGCGUGCGCAGGCGGUUCGUUGUGUCUGAUGUGAAAGCCCCGGGCUCAACCUGGGAAUGGCAUUGGAAACUGGCGAGCUAGAGUGUGGCAGAGGGGGGUAGAAUUCCGCGUGUAGCAGUGAAAUGCGUAGAUAUCAGGAGGAAUACCGAUGGCGAAGGCAGGUCUCUGGGCUAUAACUGACGCUCAUGCACGAAAGCGUGGGGAGCAAACAGG